rnacentral:rRNA from 1 species
UACGAAGGGGGGCGAGCGUUGUUCGGAUUUACUGGGCGUAAAGGGCGCGCAGGCGGCUCAUUUUUGUCAGGCGUGAAAGCCCCGGGCUUAACCCUGGGAACUGCGCUUGAGACGGGUGGGCUAGAGAUCGGGAGAGGAGAGUGGAAAUUCCCCAGUGUAGAGGUGAAAAUUCGUAGAUAUUGGGAAGAACACCGGUGGCGAAGGCGGCUCUCUGGACCGAUACUGACGCUGAUGCACGAAAAGCUAGGGGGAGCAAACAGG